rnacentral:lncRNA from 1 species
CUUACAUGCUUUCUCGGUCGAACUCAUCACACACGACUUGUUUAAUGUGGUUACCUUAAAAUUGUGAUUUGCAUGCUAUUACCCUGAAAUAGCUGUGAAUUUCAUAGUCAUUAAAAAGAUUGAAGAGUUUCUUGAAGGGUAUUUACAGAUGAGCAAGUUGAUAUUCUGUUCACUACAAACACUUAUUUAGGCUUUGAGCUAAGCAAUAUAGAGAAUAAGAUAUCGUAGUACCUUUUAACAUGCUAAAUCAUAAGAACAGAUGACUGCAAUUGUCAUUGGCGCUAAAAUAUUGGGUAUCAUAUACUCCUCACCUCAACUGAGGAAGUGCAACUCUGCUACUCAGAAUGAUCAUUCAGAUUUACAAAUCAGCUUUUGGAAAGAUCAUUUGAGACAAUGUACAACAAACUCUUGAAUUAUCCAGUUAAUAAAAAAAGUUGCAAAACCAGUAGAUAUCGUAAGUUAAAUUUCAUUACUUUCUUUGGAAACCAUAAUGUACGUAGUAUAGAUGAAACCAAAGAAAUAAACUUCAACUACUAUUUCUGUUGAAAGAGUAGUUUUAAGAAGAGUAGGGGAAACACAAUUUUGCAUUCUCCCUUUCCUCUUUUACAUAUAAAAAUAGUCAAUAUCUCCAAAUGCAGUCACAAAUUUGGAAUCUAUCAACUUUAAACUUUCACAAAACAAACUAAAGGAUAUUUGAAGGAAGUACUUCACAAAAACAAAUUUGAACCGAUGUACAUAUAAACGAAAUGAGAGAUAUCUGACGGUGAAAAAAUAAAUGUUUCUGGUUAAAAGAAUCAAUUUUACCAAAAUAAAAAUUGGACAAAUCCCAACAGCCUCAGUAUAUUAAGGACAAAGUAUUGAAGCUCUAACCUGUUUUGACUACUGAUUCAAGUUGCUAAUAUUACCCAUAUAGGUAUCCAAAGGUCCAAAAUGUAAGCUACCCUUUAAGCCACCUAAAAUUAUGUACAAAUUAUGCACAUUAUCAAGACCUUACACAUGAUCAAUAUAAAUAGAAUAUACAUUUAUAGCAAACUGAUUUACCACAUAGCCGAGACCAAUUUAUACUUCUUUCAUGUUGCAUUAAGUAGAAAAUCCAAGAAAGUAUAUGAUACAUUCAAUGACAGUAAAUAAUUUGAAGACGUGCACUUCACCUGAAUAGUAAAUCCAUCAGUAUAAUGAGAAGGGUAAAAAUAGUAAGGAAAUAACCUGGAAAGCUCCGUGAAACAUCACAGUUGAUCACAAGCCAAGAAGAAAAGCUCUUUUUGUGGUUUCUCUAUAGUUACAACAACUUCGAUUGGGAGUUUCAACUACAAAAAGAAAAUAGUUGAAGUAUUCACCGGAGAAUUAAAAACUAACAUAUACCCCAUCAAAUGGAGAUUAACUACAAAUAAAGUGCAGUAAUCAAAGAAAUACGGUAGAAAAAUAUUACCAGAGCGAAAAAGUUACCGCAUCAAAUGAUUUUUUAGAUUAUAGAUGAAAAAGGUAAGCCAGUUGGAAUUAAAGAACAACCAAAAAUAGAAGUGCAGAAAUCACAGAACAAUCUAAAAAUAAUAGAGAGAAGAUUGGACUGGGGCUGAUUAGAAAGACAGUUGUAUUAAUCAACUACACGUGACUUUAUGAUGCAGAAAGAAGUACAACCAAUUUAUCCCUAUAGAUUUACAAAAACGACGUUGUUCAUAGGACUUUGUUAGAGCUGCACAUGGUAUAACUUUUGUAGUAAUGUUCAUUCCACCAUUCGUGUAUCCGAGUAUGUCCUAGUACUACUACAUGGAACCUUUAACUUCAAAAUCGAUUGUCAGUCUUAUAAAUUGGAUACCUCAUUCCAGUGUCAACAAAACAUAUGAUCAUCUCUUUUGUAUCUUCAGUGCCCUUCGGAAGCCCCCUCAUUCCAAGUGUAUGGUCUAUGAUCUUUUAUUAUCGUCCUUUUUCAUGCUUUCUUCAUCCUCUAUUAUCAAAUCAUUCUUGUUAUCCUUCUAGAAAAAUUGAGAGGAAUCACCGAAGAAAACAUUAAGAACAUGCAUCCACAUGGAUGAUGAUAUUAUAACUGAAAUCAACUAAUACAAUGAUUUUCUCACAUAGUGAAAUAUAAGAACUUAUGUUACUAAAGCUAAUACCUCUAACUUAUCUCUGGCAGAAGUUUCAUUGUGCUAAAAGAUUGGUAACUACAUUUCCUUGUAACCAUUCAAAAGCGAAGAAUAUGGAAAUUCGAGGAAGAAAAUAAGGAAAAUUUAAAUUUCUAAAGUUCAAUUGUUUCAAAAGCGGAAAAAUCCAAUACAACCUCCAUUAUAAUCUAGUCAAAGUUCUAUUUUCACAAAGAUCCAUAUUUCAUAUACAAAAUAACAUAAGAAAGUGAAAACAAAAAUCCGUACCUUCACCUCAUACAACUUCCACAAUAAUAGAAAUGAUUGAUUACUUGAGUUACUUUAAUAACAGUUAAGUACAAUUCAACCAUUCGCGAAGUUGAUUUACAGAUCGUCCUGAAAUACCCACCCUGAUUUUAUGGAGUUCAUAGACGUUGAUUCACCUUUUCUCUUAUCUUUUCCCUCUCUAAUCCCUCUUCUGUCAUCAUAAAAUCAAAUGAAAUACACAGUUCAGACUUUUAUUUUAUUUUAUUUUUGUGCUUGUGAAUCAGAACAAUGAAACCCUCAAAGUUGGGAAAGGGUUUGGAUGAGAUUGUGAAAAACGAAGAGUACCUACUCAACUGUGUAUUUCUGUUUGUUGCUUAGAAAGGAAAAAAAUUCAUCCUACACUUUUAAUUGCUUUUU